UACUCUUAUGAUUAGGAAGGCCGAG
rnacentral:piRNA from 1 species